GUUCAGCGAAGCUUCCCCAUGAAGCGGGGGCGGCUCAGGACCUGCGCUCCCCGCAAACCUGUUUGCUCCUCAGAGGACAAACGCCCUCGCUUUCCAGAGGGGAAAGGGCUCUCGGGGAAGCCAGGUCGCUCAGGCCAGGCCCACUGCUAGUCCGGAACUGGGGUCAGAGUUCAAAAGGAGCCUGCCCGCGGUGCUGCGGGAAGAUGCCUUCCUGGAGGCCGGGCCCACAGCCCCCGGGGGCAGCUCCCGCCGGCCACGCCCCUGCUGUCCUGCAGCCCUGCGCAGCCGGGGGUCGGCCCUCAGACCUGGCCCUCUCCUGGCGGGUAGACGCUCUCUGCUCCUAACUCCUGGGCGCUGACUUCGGAGCAAAGACCUCUCAGGGUCCGGGCUGUGCAGAGAAGGCAGAGGAUGACAGUGAAUGUUCCUACCCACCCUUGCCAGCAUGUAUGACAUCAGAUCUUCUGCAUUUUGCAUAUGAUAGAGAGAAGCACUAGCUGCCGCAGAAAAGCCGUGGGCUUUCUCCAGCCGUCCCAGGAAGGUACCAAGAGAGCCAGGUAGUGGCCUCAGGACCCCAGCUGGCUUGCGGUGCAAAGCCCUUAGCAGCCAUGAGGCCUCCUUUCAGCUGUCGCCAGCUCCCAAAACAUACCUCCAGCUUGUGCUUAUGCUGGUUGCUGUGGAGACGAAAUCAUGACCUCUUGGCAUGCAUAGGGAUGCUGUGAGAUUCUGGAAAUUACAGAAAAGGCUUAUACAUCUCACACAUUACACACCAGACACCAUUAUGAGGAAUUUGAGGCUUGCUGCAGUGAGUGGACUUUCCCAUGAUCAUACAGCUCUUCACCAGCAGAGUCAGCACGCAAGCCCAGGAGCCCUCACAGCAGGGACUACUGUGAAGAGCAGAGGAAAUAUGAGGAGCUAAAUCAGAGAAGAUGGCUGAGAAGUGCAUUAUGGAACAUUAAACAAUGGCUGAUCAGCAUCAGAUACAGUAAAUGGCCCCUAAUCUACUGCCAAGAACAUGCCUGGUUCCUACAUGGCGCCCUGGCUGGCUUCCAGGCAGGGGAAUACAGGGCUGGACAUCAAGGCUUUUAGGCCACAAAACCCCUGCUCUGGGUCAUAUCCCAGCAGCUAACAGAAGAUUCCAGCGCCCAGACAACAUGCAUUUCCUUCCACAUGAUU